rnacentral:lncRNA from 1 species
AUUAACCCUAGAUCAUUACACACCCUCCUCCAUCGAAGUAAUCUUAUCCUCAAGAUUAUAAUUGAGACAUGAAUUAUAAAAAGAAAAAACAAAUAUAACUCUAGUCAUCCCAUGUAUAUUAUUCCAUGUUAAGAUUAGUCCAAUGAACUAAUACUUGAAAUAUAACAGUGUUAUUGACGUUGAUGAUUUGAUGGUGUGAAAGGGCCAAGGGUAUUAUAAGUAGACAUCUCUCGUCAUCACAAUUAGGAGAAUGUUAUUGUGAACUGACAUUGGGGCCAACACAAUGUUGAAAUGGGAAAUAUGGAAAACAUGAUGGAUCUACGACCCUAGUGAAAGUUCCAAGCGGUAAACACUACCCCAAUCUUUUCUAACACUAUGUAACGUUCAUAAUAUUUAGCACUGCAGCUCCACAGUCGACUGUAAAUAAGGUUGAAUAUUUAAGUAGACCUUUUCCCCUACCUAUAAGGUCUUAUCCGGCCUAUUUUUAUCUGUUUAAACUUUAUUUGAUCUUAUUCUAGCUGUAUAUUCUCUUUAAG